CCUACGGGAGGCAGCAGCAAGGAAUUUUCCGCAAUGGGCGAAAGCCUGACGGAGCAACGCCGCGUGCGGGAUGACGCGUUUCGGCGUGUAAACCGCUGUUCAUGGGGACGAAGCACUGACGGUACCCAUGGAGGAAGGCCCGGCUAACUACGUGCCAGCAGCCGCGGUAAUACGUAGGGGUCGAGCGUUGUCCGGAGUUACUGGGCGUAAAGCGCGCGCAGGUGGCUCAUUACGCCCGGCGUGAAAGCCCCCGGCUCAACCGGGGAGGGUCGUCGGGUACGGGUGAGCUUGAGGGUAUCAGGGGCUGGUGGAAUUCCCGGUGUAGUGGUGAAAUGCGUAGAGAUCGGGAGGAACACCCGUGGCGAAGGCGGCCAGCUGGGAUACACCUGACACUGAGGCGCGAAGGCGUGGGGAGCGAACGGGAUUAGAUACCCCGGUAGUCCACGCAGUAAACGAUGCAGACUAGGCGUAGGGGGACUUGACCCCUUCUGUGCCGAAGCUAACGCAUGAAGUCUGCCGCCUGGGGAGUACGGUCGCAAGACUAAAACUCAAAGGAAUUGACGGGGGCCCGCACAAGCGGCGGAGCGUGUUCUUUAAUUCGUCGCAACGCGAACAACCUUACCAGGGUUUGACAUAUCGCUGCAGAGCCGGGAAACCGGUUGGCCUACGAGGGUGCGAUACAGGUGCUGCAUGGCUGUCGUCAGCUCGUGUCGUGAGAUGUUGGGUUAAGUCCCGCAACGAGCGCACCCCUAUGUCCAGUUACGUUUUUCUGGACAGACUGCCGGGAACAAACUGGAGGAAGGUGGGGAUGACGUCAAGUCAGCCUGGCCCUUACAUCCUGGGCGAGAACACGCUACAUGGUCGGGACAGUGGGUUGCCCAGCGGUACCUGGAACUAAUCCCCCAAACUCGAUCUCACUGCAGAUCGUGGCUGCACUCGCUCUAUUGCAGUUGGAGUCGCUACCUACCCUCCGUCAGCAUCACCGCCGCGAAUACUGUCUC
rnacentral:rRNA from 1 species